ACCUUUACUGUCUCUUAUUACGUUUUACUGCCGUCCUGUCAAAUCAAUCGAAGAGAGAGAGGCGGUCGUGAAUUGUUGGCAGUAGCUAAUCCACCAAAAUUCCGUAAUCUUAAAACACUAAAUCAUCAAAAUGAGUAUCAGACUGCAAGAGUACAGAGACGCGAUUGAGAAAAGCCUCAAGGACAGAAGCAAACCAUGGACCAGAUACUUCGACAUUGCGGAGUCAAAAACCGGCGUGAGCAGGGUAUAUCUAUUCGUAGGAGUCGUCGCGUUCACCGGUUUAUAUUUAGUAUUUGGAAUCGGAGCUGAGUUGAUAUGCAAUUCGAUUGGAUUCGUAUAUCCUGCGUAUAUGUCAAUGAGGGCUUUGGAAUCUCCUCAAAAGGACGAUGACACUAAGUGGCUGACAUAUUGGGUGGUAUACGCUUGCUUUUCGAUUCUCGAAUACUUCUCGGACUUCAUCGUGGGUUGGUUCCCUCUCUAUUGGCUCAUAAAGUGCAUCUUCAUAAUCUGGUGCUAUCUGCCCACUGACUUCAAUGGCUCCUUGAUCAUCUACCACCGCAUCCUUCGCCCCUACUACCAGAAGCACCAUAACAAGAUUGACGAUCUGGCCAACUCUGACCCUUUGAAAAAGAUAAUAAAGGACGCCAAUAAACAUAUGGAUAAGACUCUCAAAGCUUUCAGCAAAAAACUCGAUGAGUUGCACAAUGAUUAGAUUUUUUGCUACUAAAGUCAUGGUUGGGGAGAGUUUGGUAAACAAGAUUAGAGCACUUUCACACACAUCCAUCGACAUCAAAUCGCUUUGUAUCUGAAGUCGUUGGGAAGAACAAAUAAAACCUUUUUUUUUUCUAAUAAAAUCUGCAAGCAAAAGUACAAAUCUUUACACUCUCCUUUUAUAUGAGCUUUUGUCACUGUAUUUGACUGCUCGUAUGUGUAAUCUGUGGUUAUUAAAAAAACAUAAAAUAGUUCAUAUUUCAAAUUAAGGUUUUCUCCAAUUUUGUAAUUUUUUAAGUGUUUUAAUCCAAAAUUAAAAUACUAGUUAAGUUUGAUAAAUUCGUAAAUAAAAGCCAAGUGGUCUUUUCAGUUUAAUUUUUAAAUAUUAAUGUAUUUUACAAACUUAUGUAACGAAAAGACCUUAAAACAACCUAAAUUUUUUUAGUAUUAUCAUAAAUUUUGACAUGGCAACUUCGAAAUUAUCGGAAUUAGGUUAUUUGAAACAUUUAUAUGCCUUUCCUAGUUAUAAAUUUCUUAGUAUUGUUUUCUUCUAUUAUGUUAAAAUAAGAUCUUCAAAUAUUUAGAUUAAUUAAGUGGAAAUUGGUUAGGUCAUAUUCCACAUACUUUUAUUUUGUUUUAGAACAAUUUCUUUGAAUUUCUUUUAUUGCUGUUUUCUCAAUCAAGUAGUUUUGCUCAAGGGAUGUUUCUAUUUCUCUGUUGGUUUGAUAUUUUGUUACAUUGAAAAGACAUUGUUGUGUAUUUUUUAAAUAAAGGGCAGAUUUUUCCCGCCAGCUUUGAGUGUUGCUAUACCUAGAAAUUUAAGUAAUGCAUUUAAUGUUUGGAAAUUGACAUCUGUCAAAUGAUAGAGGACAAAGAUUAUGAAAUCGGGACGUUUUGUGACAAAAAUCAUGUGACGUAUUGUCUAUGCUUUAAUGUAAACGUUAGUGUGCCUUUGGCAAUGUUAGCCAGCGUUUUGUAUUCACUCAAAUAUUUGUCAUUUUCUUUUUCACAAAAUAAAGAGGAAUUCAUUGUGUA